AAACUCUUCCAAAAAUUGAAAGCCAUCAUCCAGGGCUCCUCCAGAUGUACCGUGUUCUGCAUGUACCAUGGAGUGGAAAGGAACAAAGUGAUUAUCUGAUUGUCCCAGGGAAAUGAAGCAGAGGUGUUAGAGCGCAGCAGUCAUAUCCACCGACAUGCCUGACAGGAAAACAUAAUGCAGACUUAAUGUAAAGAGGGAAUAAAACUGCAUCUGUUACCAUUCUGAGGAAGUGUGCACAUUCAGAAAGCAGAGCUUGGAGGCUAAGUAAAUAUAUGUCAACACACUAAGGAGUGAGAAUUAUUUGAAUUCUGGAUUGGCUGACUUGCAUCGAUGCCUUUUGUUUUGUGAUCUUCAAAUGCAGGAGAGGAAGAUAUUUCCCUUCAGUGCUUCAACAACUCCUAUGCAAGAUGAGCAUGCAAAGAACUUCUGAGGCCAGCCAAAACCACUCCAUCAAGUUUAAGCAUGUGUGAAAUCUGGCCUAGGAUCAAAUAGGAGAUGAAAAAUCCUACUGGUCAUUGCCGGCUGCUGAGUGCUUCCCUUUGGAGACUCAUGGAAGUCAGAAAGGUCUACAAAUCUUUUCCUUAAAUGUCACAUAUUUGAAUAGGUAUUUUCACCGGAGCGAGUGAUUAGAUAAGAUAAAAUGAAGUACGAAACCUACUGAGUAAUUUAUUUAAUAUUUGGAAGUGAAAAUAUUAGAAGAAUUGCUUUAAGCCGAUCCCAAAAUAUUGAGAUUUAUCUCCAUUUUCUUAAAGAUUUUCUUUUUCUCCUGUUAAAUUUGAGUUCUCUAUUUCGGGAUUGUUCUCCAUUCACCCCCUUCCACCCUCCUCCCCAUAGAUACUUGGAUGGUUUCUGACAACAUGGAAGUGAAUUCUUGACAAAAAGAAAAUGAAAAAAUUGUCCAUUCUCAUGAGAUGUUUCAACAGACUCUCCCAAAAGUAUCAGUGUUGGCCACAAUGGCGCAUUUAGGUUUAGAAAUAUAAUUUCCUCAGUAAGCAGAUUGAUACAAGAGUAACGGCUGCAGUAAUUGUUGCUUCUUAAUUGAUGCUUAUGUAUGGGUUUGAACUAUUGUCAAGCUAUCUCAGGAUAGCUUACUAUAGAUUUUGUGCACUUGUCCUACUCUAGUGCUGUGUCUGUGUUUCUGGAGUCCUUCAGGUCAGAACACCAAAAUACCUCCCUGUGAGAGCCUCCUUUCUGUUACCUGGAGAGUCUUGUGCUGUUUCAUGGCUGACUACUCAAAGAAUACAAUUGUGGGAAGGGUUUUUGAAAACAAGGUAUGUUAAAAAAAAAUCAUAUUUUGUUUUAAUCCUUUCUUUCUUAAAAAUUACUGUGGAGCACAAAAGAGGUAUUAGGUUUUGAAUCUCUAUAGCAUGGAUGUCCAACCUUUUAGCUUGCCUAGGCCCCGUUGAGUAAAGAGGAAUUUUCUUGGGCCACAUAUAUAGGUUGCUCUGAAUGUAAUGCCCCCUAAUUUUUCCAUGGAAAAUACAAGAAAUACAAAGAACACAAUAACACUAUUUGUGUUUUGUUUUCAACA